UAUUUAAAUGUCUGUUCAAGACACUUGACCUUUUAUUAUCCUGUUUUUCUACUACACUAAUCCUUCCCUGUCAAAACUAGUGCAAGCUUUAAACAGUCAUUUUCCCAUCAGUCUCCUUUAGAAGCACAAAAACCUCCUAGUGCCAGGUUUAUUGCUCAUCUUAUUAUACGAGGCUUUUACUUUCGAUUAUGGGCAAACGGAUUUCUGGAAAGCUGGUCAGUGUACUCCCUGGGAGAAAAGCAACCAUGUUUGAUACAUGAAUUGCUAGCACUGAUACAGUUCUAAUCUAAACUCUACAGAAGACUGCAUAACGCUGCUUUGAAAACCACAAACACAAACCUCAAGCCACCUUCAAGUGGAAAAAAUGACAGCUAUGUUACACCAAGCAAGCUUUCUUCUAAAAACCGUGUGUAUGACUGUAACAGAAGAGUACAGUCAGAGCUCAAACAGAGCAAUUAAUUUCCAGGUCAGUAACUCUUGGUAUUGGACCAAACUAGUGAGCACUGUCAAGCUGGCACUCAGACCAUCACCACAAGCUCUGUGCUUCAGACACAGAACUGGGAAAAUCUAUGGGCCAUGGGAAAUGAGGUCAGGGAAGAAACAGGGAAAAAAAGAAAACACAAAAAUUUUUAUUCUUUUUUUUUUUUUUUUGUAAAAAGUGAUGCAAGAACUUACACAAAUCAUUAGUGGGACAGAAGCUUUAACCAUUAAAAUCUAAAACCCUAACUAAUGUAAGCUCUCGUACUAACCUGGGCAACAUCUGCGAUGCAAGGUAACGGCAGUGAGUGGAAAAAGUUAUUUUACAAAUAUAUUACUUGGAAAGAAUUUCUCUUUUAGAGAAAACGCAAGAGGAACAAUGCUGGACGUGGCAGGAAACCGGCCAACACUUCAAAUGAAAACAGUCAAACUCGAUGUAUUUCCCUGCUAAAGCAGCACAGCCUCGGCCGCCUGGUUUCCUUCGCUCGCUCUAACACUGCACAGCAAGUAGUGCCUCUGGGGGGGGACAGGCACCCUCACCGCUGCCUUUUCCAAGUGCUUUUCGUCGCCAAACGCAUUUCACGGACGUUUUCUUUCCAUUUCUCGUCACUUCCAAAGCCUCUGCACGCACAGAGCGGGUGCAAAGCUCUCAGGGACCGGGAAAUAAACGAGAUGAAAGCACGUCGGGUUAAAGAGCCUUGAAAAGAUUUCGCAACGGGAAGGAGGAAGAAGCUGCGAAUCUCUGAAGUGCCGGCCCAGGGAAUAAAGGCACCGUCAUUCCUCUGGGAAGUUUUGGGGAGCUCUUCCCAACGAGAGGGGCACAGUUCCAGCUCUGGUGCUGGGCUAAUGGUGUCCUCAGGACUACAGAUCUUGUCUAUAAAACCACUGUGAAAGCCACCCCAAAGAGAUGUGUUCCCAUCUGUCUGUCUGCCUGUCUGUUAUAGUGGUCAAACUAUUUUAACAAAAGCUGAUCAACAAUGUUUGAAUCGGAGAGAAGAAAGGAAGGAAAUGAUGUGUGGACAGGGAGAGUCAAUCAUCUGAAAGAUCAGUUCCAACAGAUUCAUGGAAAUUAGCCUCUUUCAUCGUCAUCAGGCACCAGUGAUGCUCCUGCAGGCUCUUGGCUACACAAACAAGGACUGGGCAAACCAGGAAAAUUCAGGACCAAAGUUAGUGGGGUGCACAUUAUUUUAGCACCCAAACUGAGUUCCAGGAGAAAAGCCAGUAUGGUCAAAUAAUGAUUUGUGUUUGUUUGCAUUUUUUGUUCAUAAUUAGUCCAUAUUGCUGUGAGUUGGCUGUACCAACAGAACAUUUCCUGAGGGACAACUAGUCCCCAUCCUUCCAACGCUUCCAUUUCAGGAAAGAUGGUUCUGGCAAAAGUUAACAAUACUUGAAAGAAUAGAUUUUUAAGUCAUUGGUGUUUUAUUUGCCUCAGUGAGCAGAUCUGCUACACAGAGGUGCUUUUCUGAGGUACUUCUCAUACACCAAGAAGUGAUUCAGUUUCUCUUUAGGGUCUUCAAUGGCCUGGUGAGUUGGGAGAUUAGGGUUUUGUGUCUCAUCAUAGUGUUGUUUUCAUUAUAUUCCCACUGUUCAUUUUUUAAUGCUCUCUUCAAGAGCUGAUAAAGAACUACAAAGUUACUUUUAAAGCAUUUAUUGUAGUGGUUGAUGAUAAUGUAGCUUCACAGACCAGUCAAACGUACUAGCCUAAACUUUCUCCUGUUACAGGCCGGGGAGUUUCACUCAGUAUGUGCCAUAUGCAGAUUCUACUUUUUGGGUGAAAGUAGGUAUUUUUAGUCUGUGAUAGAAAAAAAAGAAUCUAUUAUUUACUUAAUGACUUCAAACAAGAAGCAGCCCAGAUUUCAGAGUCCAUUAUUAUCAGAUAUCUUAUUUACGUAAAUAUUUACAGACUACUAUCUAGUCACUUCGUCUUUGUGUUACUCCACUAAAAAGAUUAGGCUUUCCACAAUUUUCACUGGGAGCUUUUUUUAUUUUCCAGUUUACUCCUCCAGCCUGGUUUGCAGACAAGUAGUGCUUUGUGGGCAGUCAGAUGGCCAGAAGUGGAGUGAAUGAAGUAUGUACAGAUCAAAACCAGAAAGAAAGAAGCACAUGUGAAGGCAAACCAACAUUUAAAUGCUUGGUGUGGGAAAACAGAAAUGUUACCUGGCAAGAGCAGGGAUUUUAAGCUGCUGUGUGGUGCAUGCUGCUGAGGGGGUUUUGCAGAGACCUCACACCUUAGCAGUUCAGAUGUGAAAUAAUCUUUGGGAUUCUGCACAGCAUAGGGGGGGAGAGAGAGAGAGACAGAGAGAGAGAGGGAGGGAGACAAGCUUCCCAAAGUACCCAGUUGAGGUGCUGUGAGCUGGACCCUCUGGGACAAGCACAGGGUGAUGGUUUUGCAGCAGGGAAAGAUGGCAGGAGCUCCCCUGAGUCACUGGUGCUCUGCUCUCAUCUUACACUGGAAGAGGACUCAAACACCUAUCAGGCUCACACCUGACUGUCUUAUUUAUUUAUUUUUUUGCUGCCCAGACCAGCUUCCCCACUGAGUUUGCUGUUAGCUGGGCCAGUAUAGAGAAUACAGAGCAGGCCCAGGGCUGCACCUACGUGAGGCACAUCCUGCCGUUGCAGCUGCGGUGUGAGCUGGGUGAACCCUCACCCCUGCGGCUUCCUCGAGCCUCCGCACAGGAAGCACAACAAGGAUGUCACACCCUAAAACCAACCCUGUCCAACAGUCUCCUGACACCAACAUAAGUGCAACCUCCUCCAGGGAGGGACGACAGGUUGCUCCCACACCUCGGCAGCCCUAGGUGUACCUUGGUGGAUCCGGCUUCUCCUCCUACUGCAUGUGAGCUCAUUAGAAACACCUUGCUGCUGGGAAGCAGCAGUUCACAGUGGAGAGGUUUUACAGGCAUAACUGUGACUCUGGACCUGCCCUGUCAUGUCCAGGUUGGAGUGGGGCUCACCCUCCCUGGCUCGCUCCGGUGCAACCCUGAGUUUCAAAACGAAACGGAGAAGCAACACAAUUUUUAAGGGGCAGAGAAGUAAUUGAGUAAUUGCCUUCACAGUUACAUGCUCAGCUUUCUACUGUUUGCACAAAUGAAUCACAAACAGGAAGAUUGAUACCACGGGAAACCUUGGGCUACCUCUCGAGGCAGAGAUAAUCGUUCAUCUCAUGCUCAGGCAGUCAGUAAACAAACAAUAGCACUUCACACUUCAUUUGUCAGCCUACAAGGCACGGGUUGUGUUCAUGUUUUAUCUCUGCACUCGUCUUACACAGUGCUGUCAUGCAAUUUGCACUGAUUUUUUUUGAAUUAGCAAUAAUUAUAAGUAGAAACACACCACUGAGUAAAUUAUAGAGUCACUUGCCAUUUCCCCAAGCAGCACACUGCUGCUCUCUGCUUCAGUUCUUAUACUCAUCUGCACCUGCUACAGGGAAAAUUUCAAGAUGACGCAAAUUCAAAAUAUAAUCAAAAGCAAGCUGAACCAGUUCAGAGAAAAGUGGUCAGAAAUAUUUGUGCUUUACCAAUACUGUGCUAUGAGCUGGACUAAUCAGCUUUAUCUGUAUUUUUCAAGCUACAUUUUCAGAUCCUUGCUACAAAUACCUGAAUGAUACGGCAAGAUUUUUUUCAGUUUAAAGCACAGUGCCAGUCACAUGCAUUUUUGUAAAAGCGUUGAUGUCUGUUUGCUUGCCCCAGCAAGGUCCCAAGAGCUCUCUGGUAAUUUCUAAGAACUCAGAAAUGUCACAGGAGGACAAGCAGCUCCCUGUGUGCAGCAGAGAUCACUGCUUAGUGCCACUCAGCAUCUAAGUAGAAGAGGAUGACACAACAUUAAGCUUUGGGGAAUGCAAAACCCAAAGAGACAUUGGCUCUAGUUUGCCAUUCAGUGGUCCUUCUCUGAGGACCAUUCUCAGGAGCACUGAGUGAUUCCUGGCACCCUGAAAAGCUAAUAUAAAUAUUAAUGGCAUCAACCAACACCUCGGGACUGAGGUGAUGAAUCUCUGUUCCUGUCACAUCAUAGACUGUACAAAUAGGGCAUGAUCAUUUACUCUGAAGUGCCUGAAAUAACUCAGGAGUCUCUUCCAGCCAUUUUUGAAUGCCUUUAAAAUUCCAGCCAUUAUGCUCACAAGAAACUGCAUUUGCUCAGCCUGUUCUUUGUUUCUGGUCCCUGAACAUGAUCUCCACUCAAAUACAGUCUCAGUUUCAAAGCCUAUGGAGGACGUAGUUCUUCCAUAAAGCAUCUGUAGGCUGCAUAAUAUCUAUAAAUUUCAGUAUGUAGCCUGGAAGCCAAAUACAGGUAAUGGAAACUAGGACACUUUUAUAGGCAUGAGCUUAUAAUAAUUUAAAACCUGAAUACCGAAUGGAACAACAGAACAACUAAAACUCUCUGAUUUACACUGUCUUCUUUCAACACAGCCAUGAGUAAGCACAGUCAAAAAUCAUAGUCAGGAAAGUAUGAGACAGGAGUGAAAGGUAGUUAUCCUAUGCCACUUGUUGGCAGCCAAUAUACUGGGAAAAAUGUUUAAUAUUGUCUAAGGAAGAGCCACGUGGGAAUAGCAGGGAUUACUCUUUAAAAGCACAUCUUCAGCUCAGUCUAUACGAGUAGAAGUCCUGGCUAUAUGCACACCUUAGCAGAAUUUCUGCAAGGAAGAUGCUGUCUUAAAGAUAUCCAUAAACCAGUUCUGAAAGCUGAUUUCAUAGAAACAUUUCUCUGUUGAGGAAUAUUUCUAUAAAAGCCUUGGUGCUGUGGAAUGAGAUCCACUCAUUUUUUCAAAUAACAGAUGAUCCCUGAAGUGUCUUGCUCUUCUAUUACUGCACCUUAGUGUCGUGUCCAGUGCCUGUGCCUAUUUAUUUCCUAUACUGUGAUGCUCCAAAAUCUGUUAGUAAGCUCUUCAAAACUGAUAUAUGUACACAUAUCAAAUGCAUCAUAUUGGAUCAUCAGUGAGACCACAGUCCCCUCCAGUUCUACUGGAACUCAGGAAAACCAGAUCCCACUAAUGCUGUUACCCUGUUGUCAGCAAUACAGGGGUACGAGCAGGAUCAAGCCUAAGACCUUGGCUUAUAAGGCUCUUUAUAAAAUAAUCACUCUGCUGAAAGGCUUCAGUGAACCCAGUCUUGUGUUACAAUAGACUUUCUUACAGCCUCCCUUGCUUCUGGCCAUUCCUUAUUUAUAUCACUCAAAUUACUCGGCUCAUUAGUCUGCCAUUCUAAUAGAAGUCCAGUUGAGUUUAGUUUAUUUACUGUUUGUUAACAGCCCUUUCUUUUAAAAACAACAUACAUUUGUCUGUGUUUGCAGAAGUCUGGAAUAGAAUGGAAGCAAGGGAGUAAAAAAAUUCAUCAGGGCUUUUAAAGACUUUAAUCAUUCACAUAAACAGCCAGAUGACUGCAGUCAUUCAAAAUAAAAAUAAAAUCAAAACACACAGACUUCCCUAGGCAAGUGGAUAGCUCUUAAAAUGACUAGCCAGAUAAAGGAACAAGCUAGUUAAAAGAAUAUUGACUGAACCAUACUGCUUUUAGAAAAAACUGAUAAUGAGAGAGAGCACAGAAUAAGAUAGAAGGAUCUUCCAAGUAUUCUGGCUGCACUGAAACAUAACAAAGCAGAUUGCUUCCACUAAGGAGGCUUCAGUUCUUACUGUUCUUCUUAAAGGGGUUGUGUCACCAGGAUUUAUUAUUAAGGUGGACAUAAGCUUGCCAAGGCACUCAGCUUUAUGUUAAGAGGCCUCAGUGCAGACUUAAGGUACCAGUUUGAUAUUGUGCAUAACUUCAAGUAGAUGCUCAACUUCAAGCUCUGUUGUUCCCUCUGUUGAUCCUAAUGAAAUUAUCAAUUUAGAUUGCCUACAUUGGUAUGGCAGCAUGAACUGGAGCCUCUGACUUAGGGGCUCAUGCCCUGCUCGACAUGUGUGGUGUAUCCUGUCAGGAAGACCAUGUCAACACAUGGGCAAUUGCUUCUGAUAUCCUUGCAGAUGGCUUCAAAGGACAUAUGUUAGAGAGCUGAGUCUGGGCAGUUGGAUUUGAAAACUGUGGCCUAAACAAAUUGUUUAAAGGAGUAAGGCCAAAUUUUCCAUGCUAAAAUUUUUGCUGUGACUUUUCAUAUGGGGAUCUGCAACAGGCCAAGUUCUGUUAAAAAAAAACAACAACAAACCUAUCUCUAGACAACUUCAGCCAGUUCCAAGAACGGAGCUGGGAAAAAAGAAAAGGCUGUUUGCCACAUGGUAAGAACUUCAGGCAGCCACUUCUUUGCAAACCUCCUGGUGCAGAGGCUUGGACAAUGGAAUAGGGUUCACCAAGCCAUAGAUGUGCCCUUACACCAGAGGCAGCUAAAAGCAAGAAUUAAGGGUUGUCGUCCUUGGCAAGUGUUUAGUUUCACACUGAUGGAUUGUUUCAAUUAGUAAACCAUGAUCGUUUAACGUUGUACAGGAUGUCACAUGAUGAGCUGAUGGAAAUGCCAGCUCCUACCUGAUAACUUGUUACAUCUCUCGUGUUACGCAAGAUGUUGCUUUAUGGAUUCUUCUGUGUAGUAGUACAUCCGAUUGAAUUACUUUACAAAAGUGCUCUUAACAAAAUGACAAUGCAGCUAGGUCAGGAUAAACUAAAAAUAUCUUCUAGAACAAGCUAUUGGAAAAUUAAUUAGUUUUGGGUCUAACCCAGUAUUCACUGCACUCCAUGGAAAACCAUCCACUGGUAAGGAAAAGGAAUGGCAGACCAAGCCUUUGCAGGAUUCUUUAGCCCUGGCCAAAUUAUUACAUAAAUGCAAAUUCAGGAUAGCACCAGUAAGUAAAGAACUGAUGACAAAAACUAGCUCUGUCCCUAAUAGCCCAUUUCAGGCAUUUGUUCACUAGUAAUGUCUGUCAACUGAAACCAAGUUUUUGAAGUUAUUUUACACUUGUGCUGUACACUGCCAGAGCCAAAACAUCAGUUAAGUUUGCUGCUGUGUCCUUAGAGUACUCUGCUGUGUCAUGAAGGCUCCUUUCCAGCUCCAGAUGAGUUAAGGACAAUGUCACCAUUAACUGUGAAGUUUCUUGCUACUUUGGUUCAUGAUCUCAAUGCUACCUGAACUAGAAAGGAGAUAGUAUUAAAAUACAUGUCUAAGUAAUCCAGAAAGAGAGUGUGAAUGACUUCCUAAGUUUUAUUCAUAUUCUUUCAUAUUCUUCCUGCAAUAUUCUCCUUCUGUACUUGUGCUAAGCAGCCCUAGACCUCACAGCUAUGGACUGCUUGCCUCCAGUUUUAAGCAUUUAGAUGUCAAUUAUGGCAUUGAAUUCAAGGACUGAAUUAUAGUGCUUUUCUUUGUUAUAACUCUGCUGGGAAAGAGCCACAGUUGCUAUGAACUCUGAGCCAUGGUUAUAAAUCAGUAGUGAUGUGCUGAUCUCCAUCUGCUCUUAAACAAACCACUCCUCAGUUACACCAGUGUGAAUGAAAGGAGAACCAAAAUGUAAGUAUCAACUACUAAUGAUGACUGACAUGCACAAAAGUUUCUAAACUUCUAAGGCAAAAUUUUUUAUAAUAUGAAGAAUGCAUAAAAAUAAUGCAUUUGCAUUCCCUGGGAACCAAUAUAAGUAGGAAUUGGGCAGCUCAGUAGCAGGUCAGUAGCUCACAGGAUGAAGAGUUACUCUAGAGUUGGUGGCAUACUCUGAUUUCUUCCUUUCUCUUUUCUAAGCCUCAAUACAAGGACUUUCUUCUAAGCAUGUUAAAACACUUCACAGUGGAUAUCCUUAGGAACCAAGUGAAGAGAGCAAGCUGAGCCAGGAGCGAAAUGCAGACCUGAAUCUGCUUAAUUUCUAUUCUAGGAUAAAGCUCUGACUAACAAGGAGCAGUGUUCCAUGGGAUGCAGCCUGCCUACUGAAAUGGUUUUGCUGUGAAUGAAAACAGUAACUACUGGGACAGAGCGAGAGUCUUGUUUACAGCACGUGGUAGUUCGGACACACACUUGAGAUGUGUGUCCAGAUCCUUGUUCCACAGAAGUGUUGGACACCUCUGCAGUACAUGAACAGAGGAGAGAUUUAGAAAGAUUCCCUCUCAAUAGUCCAUAGCCCAGUGACUACAUGCCUCUAAGUAUCUCUGCAAUGUAAAACAAUAAUUGUGAUUAAAAUGAGAAUAUUACCGCACUUAAGUCGUACAUAGAAGCUCCAAUACUUUUUAUAAGUGAUGUAAUUCAGAUGGUGUGUUAUUGAAUCCAUUUAAUUUUCUGUCCUUCUGUCAGCUUGAGUAUUUGUGCAAAUGGGACUGGUGACUGACUUCCUAAUAAUCAAAAUGUAAUGAUUCCCCUACUUCACAUCAUAGAACUGUAACUUUUUAUUUAAUCAAUAUAAAUGUUUAAGUAAUAACAUCAGGGAGGAGCAGCUACAAAUGAGCUGAGCUAUAAGUGACCUACAUCAGUGGUUGAUCAUGCUUCUUGAUUAGUGUAAGCUUUAAAGCUCAUAAGCUGUAUUCUGCACUAAGGCAGACAUUUAAUAACAGUGAUAAUUAGUUAGUAGCUUGCAGUUUUCUAGUACUAAAGUCUACCUAAAAGCAUAAAAAAAUCUUUACUUAUCUCUGUACAUGGUAUUAACAACAAAUUUUGGGCUAGUCUGAAAUGACAUGUCUUCAUCCAUGACUCUUGGGUACAAUUCUUUCCUCAUCAAUAUAUACUAUUAACAACAUUUAUGUUAUCUAAACCAAAUUGCUGAUUAAAAACCUUUAAUAAACCUUGUCUGGA